AGAAUGACUCUUAAUGACCCAGAGGAUGACUCUUACCACUGGAGACACACACACUUGAGUCUGCACAGCAAACCUUACUGAGUAAUCCUUCUCUUCCAUUA